CUUGCUCUUAACGGCGGACGGGUGAGUAAUGCUUAGGAAUCUGCCUAUUAGUGGGGGACAACAUUUCGAAAGGAAUGCUAAUACCGCAUACGUCCUACGGGAGAAAGCAGGGGAUCUUCGGACCUUGCGCUAAUAGAUGAGCCUAAGUCGGAUUAGCUAGUUGGUGGGGUAAAGGCCUACCAAGGCGACGAUCUGUAGCGGGUCUGAGAGGAUGAUCCGCCACACUGGGACUGAGACACGGCCCAGACUCCUACGGGAGGCAGCAGUGGGGAAUAUUGGACAAUGGGCGCAAGCCUGAUCCAGCCAUGCCGCGUGUGUGAAGAAGGCCUUAUGGUUGUAAAGCACUUUAAGCGAGGAGGAGGCUACUUUAGUUAAUACCUAGAGAUAGUGGACGUUACUCGCAGAAUAAGCACCGGCUAACUCUGUGCCAGCAGCCGCGGUAAUACAGAGGGUGCAAGCGUUAAUCGGAUUUACUGGGCGUAAAGCGCGCGUAGGCGGCUAAUUAAGUCAAAUGUGAAAUCCCCGAGCUUAACUUGGGAAUUGCAUUCGAUACUGGUUAGCUAGAGUGUGGGAGAGGAUGGUAGAAUUCCAGGUGUAGCGGUGAAAUGCGUAGAGAUCUGGAGGAAUACCGAUGGCGAAGGCAGCCAUCUGGCCUAACACUGACGCUGAGGUGCGAAAAGCAUGGGGAGCAACAGGAUUAGAUACCCUGGUAGUCCAUGCCGUAAACGAUGUCUACUAGCCGUUGGGGCCUUUGAGGCUUUAGUGGCGCAGCUAACGCGAUAAGUAGACCGCCUGGGGAGUACGGUCGCAAGACUAAAACUCAAAUGAAUUGACGGGGGCCCGCACAAGCGGUGGAGCAUGUGGUUUUAAUUCGAUGCAACGCGAAAACCUUACCUGGGCCUUGACAUAGUAAGAACUUUCCAGAGAUGGAUUUGGUGCCCUUC
rnacentral:rRNA from 1 species